UACGUAGGGUGCAAGCGUUGUCCGGAAUUAUUGGGCGUAAAGAGCUCGUAGGCGGUUUGUUGCGUCGGCUGUGAAAUCCCGAGGCUCAACCUCGGGUCUGCAGUCGAUACGAGCAAACUAGAGUGUUGCAGGGGAGACUGGAAUUCCUGGUGUAGCGGUGAAAUGCGCAGAUAUCAGGAGGGAACACCGGUGGGCGAAGGCGGGUCUCUGGGCAACAACUGACGGCUGA
rnacentral:rRNA from 1 species